rnacentral:snoRNA from 1 species
UGUGCUGAUGAUGAUUACCUGGCUCCCUCUACUGAUAUUCAUGAGGAAAACUGCCAUAUCCGUUACCCAAUUUUACUGAGGCACA